rnacentral:rRNA from 1 species
AAUACCGCAUGAUAUUCAGAAGACCUCGGUCUUUUGACUCAAAGCCCGCAAGGGCGUCUAAGGAGGGGCCCGCGCCCGAUUAGCUAGUUGGUGAGGUAACGGCUCACCAAGGCUUUGAUCGGUAGCCGGUCUGAGAGGAUGGCCGGCCACACUGGAACUGAGACACGGUCCAGACUCCUACGGGAGGCAGCAGUGGGGAAUAUUGCGCAAUGGGCGAAAGCCUGACGCAGCGACGCCGCGUGGGGGAUGAAGCUUUUCGGAGUGUAAACCCCUUUCGACCCGGACGAAUGACCCGCAAGGGUUUGACGGUACGGGUAUAAGAAGCCCCGGCUAACUACGUGCCAGCAGCCGCGGUAAUACGUAGGGGGCCAGCGUUGCUCGGAAUUACUGGGCGUAAAGGGUUCGUAGGUGGUGCGGCAAGUUGGGAGUGAAAUCUCUGGGCUUAACCCAGAGGCUGCUUUCAAAACUGCCGUGCUCGAGUGCGAGAGAGGCCAGUGGAAUUGCAGGUGUAGCGGUGAAAUGCGUAGAUAUCUGCAGGAACACCCGUGGCGAAAGCGGCUGGCUGGAUCGCAACUGACACUGAGGAACGAAAGCUAGGGGAGCAAACAGGAUUAGAUACCCUGGUAGUCCUAGCCCUAAACCAUCGGAACUUGGGGUGGCCCGCGUAGGCGGGUCGUCCCGUAGCUAACGCGUUAAGUUCCGCGCCUGGGGAGUACGGUCGCAAGACUGAA